ACAACAUUCGGGCCGUCGGUCUACUGAACAAUAUCAUCCGGUCGGUGGAAUAUCCUUUCUUUCGUCGU
rnacentral:pre_miRNA from 1 species